UACGUAGGGAGCAAGCGUUGUCCGGAAUCAUUGGGCGUAAAGCGCGCGUAGGUGGCCUCAUAAGUCCGCUGUGAAAGUCCAAGGCUCAACCUUGGAAAGCCGGUGGAUACUGUGAGGCUAGAGUACGGAAGAGGCGAGUGGAAUUCCUGGUGUAGCGGUGAAAUGCGCAGAUAUCAGGAAGAACACCCGUGGCGAAGGCGGUUCUCUGGGACGGUACUGACGCUGAGACGCGAAAGCGUGGGGAGCGAACAGG
rnacentral:rRNA from 1 species